rnacentral:rRNA from 1 species
AUUGAACGCUGGCGGCAGGCUUAACACAUGCAAGUCGAGCGGAGAUGAGGUGCUUGCACCUUAUCUUAGCGGCGGACGGGUGAGUAAUGCUUAGGAAUCUGCCUAUUAGUGGGGGACAACAUUCCGAAAGGAAUGCUAAUACCGCAUACGCCCUACGGGGGAAAGCAGGGGAUCUUCGGACCUUGCGCUAAUAGAUGAGCCUAAGUCGGAUUAGCUGGUUGGUGGGGUAAAGGCCUACCAAGGCGACGAUCUGUAGCGGGUCUGAGAGGAUGAUCCGCCACACUGGGACUGAGACACGGCCCAGACGCCUACGGGAGGUAGCAGUGGGGAAUAUUGGACAAUGGGCGGAAGCCUGAUCCAGCCAUGCCGCGUGUGUGAAGAAGGCCUUUUGGUUGUAAAGCACUUUAAGCGAGGAGGAGGCUACCUGGAUUAAUACUCUAGGAUAGUGGACGUUACUCGCAGAAUAAGCACCGGCUAACUCUGUGCCAGCCGCCGCAGUAACAC